rnacentral:rRNA from 1 species
UACGUAGGGGGCAAGCGUUGUCCGGAAUCAUUGGGCGUAAAGAGCGUGUAGGCGGCCCGGUAAGUCCGCUGUGAAAGUCCAGGGCUCAACCCUGGGAUGCCGGUGGAUACUGUCGGGCUCGAGUCCGGAAGAGGAGUGUGGAAUUCCUGGUGUAGCGGUGAAAUGCGCAGAUAUCAGGAGGAACACCAAUUGCGAAGGCAGCACUCUGGGACGUGACUGACGCUGAGGAGCGAAAGCGUGGGGAGCGAACAGG